UACGAAGGGGCUAGCGUUGCUCGGAAUCACUGGGCGUAAAGCGCACGUAGGCGGGUUCUUAAGUCAGGGGUGAAAUCCUGGAGCUCAACUCCAGAACUGCCUUUGAUACUGGGAAUCUCGAGUCCGGGAGAGGUGAGUGGAACUGCGAGUGUAGAGGUGAAAUUCGUAGAUAUUCGCAAGAACACCAGUGGCGAGGCGGCUCACUGGCCCGGUACUGACGCUGAGGUGCGAAAGCGUGGGGAGCAAACAGGG
rnacentral:rRNA from 1 species